rnacentral:misc_RNA from 1 species
CCGAGUUUACAACUCCCAAACCCAAUGUGAACGUUACCAAACUGUUGCCUCGGCGGGAUCUCUGCCCCGGGCGCGUCGCAGCCCCGGACCAAGGCGCCCGCCGGAGGACCAACCAAAACUCUUAUUGUAUACCCCCUCGCGGGUUUUUUUAUAAUCUGAGCCUUCUCGGCGCCUCUCGUAGGCGUUUCGAAAAUGAAUCA